UGGGGAAUUUUGGACAAUGGGCGAAAGCCUGAUCCAGCAAUGCCGCGUGUGUGAAGAAGGGCCUUCGGGUUGUAAAGCACUUUUUGUCCGGAAAGAAAUCCUUGGCUCUAAUACAGUCGGGGGAUGACGGUACCGGAAGAAUAAGCACCGGCUAACUACGUGCCAGCAGCCGCGGUAAUACGUAGGGUGCAAGCGUUAAUCGGAAUUACUGGGCGUAAAGCGUGCGCAGGCGGUUUGCUAAGACCGAUGUGAAAUCCCCGGGCUCAACCUGGGAACUGCAUUGGUGACUGGCAGGCUAGAGUAUGGCAGAGGGGGGUAGAAUUCCACGUGUAGCAGUGAAAUGCGUAGAGAUGUGGAGGAAUACCGAUGGCGAAGGCAGCCCCCUGGGCCAAUACUGACGCUCAUGCACGAAAGCGUGGGGAGCAAAACAGGAUUAGAUACCCUGGUAGUCCACGCCCUAAAACGAUGUCAACUGUUGUUGGGGAUUCAUUUCCUUAGUAACGUAGCUAACGCGUGAAGUUGACCGCCUGGGGAGUACGGUCGCAAGAUUAAAACUCAAAUGAAUUGACGGGGUCAUAGCUG
rnacentral:rRNA from 1 species